GACGAACGCUGGCGGCGUGCUUAACACAUGCAAGUCGAACGGAAAGGCCCUGCUUUUGUGGGGUGCUCGAGUGGCGAACGGGUGAGUAACACGUGAGUAACCUGCCCUUGACUUUGGGAUAACUUCAGGAAACUGGGGCUAAUACCGGAUAGGAGCUCCUGCUGCAUGGUGGGGGUUGGAAAGUUUCGGUGGUUGGGGAUGGACUCGCGGCUUAUCAGCUUGUUGGUGGGGUAGUGGCUUACCAAGGCUUUGACGGGUAGCCGGCCUGAGAGGGUGACCGGCCACAUUGGGACUGAGAUACGGCCCAGACUCCUACUGGAGGCAGCAGUGGGGAAUAUUGCACAAUGGGCGGAAGCCUGAUGCAGCAACGCCGCGUGCGGGAUGACGGCCUUCGGGUUGUAAACCGCUUUCGCCUGUGACGAAGCGUGAGUGACGGUAAUGGGUAAAGAAGCACCGGCUAACUACGUG
rnacentral:rRNA from 1 species